UGUUUUUUAAUUGAAUUCAUUGGGGUGACAUUGGUUAAUAAAAUUAUAUAGAUUUCAGGUGUACAAUUCUAUAAUACAUUACCUAUAUAUGGUAUUGUGUGUGCACCAUCCAAAGUUAAGUCUCCUCCUUAUAAUUAAGUAAGAA